rnacentral:lncRNA from 1 species
CCUCUCAAGACACAACCAGACCAUCAGACACAAGAAGGGAAGAAGAGAGGGAACAAGAAGACACUCUCUCGGCCUCUCUAUCCCUCUCGGCUCUCUCUCAACUUUUUGACCCCUCAAAAAAAAAAGGCAAAACUCAACCAAUAGAAAGAAUUUUUCCCUCAACCUCUCAGCUUUAUCCCUCCCUUUUUUCAAUUCACACAACAUAUCCUCCUACAAAAUUAAACACAAGAAAAGGCAAGCAAUUGGGGUGUGAGGUGUUGGAAUUCCUUCAAAAUUUGACCGAAGAAGCUCUUGCUUGAGUUGAGGUAUUUUUUCA